rnacentral:rRNA from 1 species
GAGUUUGAUCAUGGCUCAGGAUGAACGCUGGCGGCGUGCCUAAUACAUGCAAGUCGAGCGAACGGACGAGAAGCUUGCUUCUCUGAUGUUAGCGGCGGACGGGUGAGUAACACGUGGAUAACCUACCUAUAAGACUGGGAUAACUUCGGGAAACCGGAGCUAAUACCGGAUAAUAUUUUGAACCGCAUGGUUCAAAAGUGAAAGACGGUCUUGCUGUCACUUAUAGAUGGAUCCGCGCUGCAUUAGCUAGUUGGUAAGGUAACGGCUUACCAAGGCAACGAUGCAUAGCCGACCUGAGAGGGUGAUCGGCCACACUGGAACUGAGACACGGUCCAGACUCCUACGGGAGGCAGCAGUAGGGAAUCUUCCGCAGUGGGCGAAAGCCUGACGGAGCAACGCCGCGUGAGUGAUGAAGGUCUUCGGAUCGUAAAACUCUGUUAUUAGGGAGAACAUAUGUGUAAGUAACUGUGCACAUCUUGACGGUACCUAAUCAGAAAGCCACGGCUAACUACG